UUUUAAUAAUGCAAUUGAUGUUGUUAGUAGUCAGAAAACAGGUGUGGUAGGUUGAGACGCUCACACUUUUUUGUUUGAGUGCCACAUCAUGUACAUAUACAGUGUUUUCUAUGAAAUGAUUUCGGUCUGAUGAUCUUAAUGUGGUUUUUGAAUUGUUGAACAAAGUCAGACUCUCUGUACAGCUCAGAACCACAUGAGGAGAUCUUAGAUGAAGAUAUGAAAGAGGGAUGGGCUGGUAAAUUGAUGGGAUCUGUACUUCUAUUUAUGUUCAUCUUCUUAAGACAAAUGCAGAAAGAACCAAAGAAAUGGUUGCUUCAUACAUUUAUUUUCAACUGAAUCUGAUAACAAUGAUUAGGUGAAAACAUAUGUGCUCUUUCUAGAAAAAAAUGUAUGUUAAAUUGGCAGUUUUGUAUUUCAGUAGCUAAAACAUCAAAAUGAUUACAUACUAUUAACAGAACAAAAAAAAAUCUUAAAUACAACUGACUUGCUAGUGUAUUCAAACCUGUGACCAAAUCUCUCAUUUUAUUAAAUAACAAACAAUAUAUUUGUAAUAAGCAGGAAACCGAUGGAGUGCCUCCUUCGGGUAGGGAAUGAAGCGUUACCCCAAGUAAAUAAGUUCAAGUAUCUCAGGGUCUUGUUCGCGAGUGAAGGGACAAUGGAGCUGGAGAUUGGCCGGAGAAUCGGAGCAGCGGGGGCGGUAUUGCAUUCGCUUAACCUCACCGUUGUGACGAAUAGAGAGCUGAGCCGGAAGGCAAAGCUCUCGAUAUACUGGUCAGUUUUCGUUUCUACCCUCACCUAUGUUCAUGAAGGCUGGGUCAUUACCGAAAUAACUAGAUUGCGAGUACAAGCGGCUGAAAUGGGUUUUCUCAGAAGGGUGGCUGGCUUCUCCCUUAGUGAUAGGGUGAGAAGCUCAAUCAUCCGUGAGGAACUCGGAGUAGAGCCGCUGCUCCUUUGCAUCGAAAGGAGCCAGUUGAGGUGGUUCGGGCAUCUGGUAAGGAUGCCCCCAGGACGUCUCCCUAGGGAGGUGUUCCAGGCACGUCCAGCUGGGAGGAGACCUCGGGGUAGGCCCAGGACUAGGUGGAGAGAUUAUAUUUCAACACUGGCCUGGGAACGCCUUGGGAUCCCCCAGUCAGAGCUGGCAAAUGUGGCUCGGGAAAGGGAAGUUUGGGGUCCCCUGCUGGAGCUGCUGCCCCCGCGAUGCAAUACCAGAUUAGCGGAUGAAGGUGAGAUGAGAUGAGAUAUUGAAAUGUUUUUCUAUUCAACGUUCACUUUGAAAAACUGUCCCCUUCAAAAUCAAUUAUAAGAUGACAUUAAAUGUUUUUUUGUUUUGAGUUUUGUUUUGUUUUGAGUUGAGAAAUACUUUGGAGGAACAAUAACGUGCUGCUUGCAUAACUGUAUGUACAGUGAAAAAUAAUCUUCAUAUCUGAACAAUGAAUCAGGUCCAUUUUGAGUAAAUAUAAAUUCAAAGCAUAAAGGACUUUACUUUGGCAAGAAGUGUGACUCGAAAUUCAGUCUUAUUUGCAGAUCCAUGGUCAGGAGUUUGGUAGGGAAGUGUUCUGAUCUCAUCAAACUCACAUCAAUAACCUUAUCCAUUAUAAUAACUGUAUAUACUUGUGCUGGUAAUAUAUAAUGUACUUGUCCCAGUAAUAUAUAAUAUACUUGUGCCGGUAAAGCCUAAAACUCAAAUGCAGAUUACUGAGUUAUUCCUAAAACACCAUCUCAGAGCUCAUCUCUGAGGGUGCAGCUGUCCCAUAAAAAAGUCACACAUUGUUCAAGAAUGUCAAGACUCAUAAAAUGUAAAUACAAUUAAGUGAAUUAAUAAAGAAAAGUAAAUAUAAUAAACCGGAAGAACAGUGGUCUCCCUUAAGUUGACAGAAAAAAAUCUAACAACAUAAAUAAAUAAAAGGAUAACUAGCCAACUAGGAUGUCUGAUACAUACGUUUUUGUGUCAAAGUUGGGAUAUGCUUUGAGUGAGUGGACUGGAUAUAUUUUCUGAUACUGGAAAAUAACAAAAACAAAAUAGCAUUUGGAGAACUUUCCCAAACCGUUACGAUGCUCAUUUCGUCCAAGGAUUCGAUACGCCCCUAGUUUUGUACAUUGAAUUGUGUUUCACUGUGUUGGGGUCCAGGGUUUGGGAAGUAGAAUUUUGGUUAGCAGUGUUUGGAAUCAGUGUUUGGUAAGAACAAUCUAGGUUUGCUGUGUUUGGAUUCAGGGUUUGGUAUGUUGGUAUGUUGGAUAUCGGUAUGCUGUUUGGAUUCAAAGGUUUGGUAAGAACAAUAUAUGUUUGCUGUGUUUGGAUCCAGGGUUUGGUAUGUUGGAUAUCGGUAUGCUGUGUUUGGAUUCAGUGUUUGGUGAGUCGAAUCCAGGUUUGCUGUGUUUGGAUUCAGGGUUUGGUAAGUAGAAUCCAGGUUUGCUCUGUUUGGAUUCAGGGUUUGGUAAGUAGAAUCCAGGUUUGCUGUAUUUGGAUUCAAAGUUUGGUAUGUUGGAUAUUGGUAUGCUGUGUUUGGAUUUAGGGUUUGGUAUGUUGGAUAUCGGUAUGCUGUUUGGAUUCAAGGUUUGGUAAGAACAAUCUAUGUUUGCUGUGUUUGGAUUCAGGGUUUGGUAUGUUGGAUAUUGGUAUGCUGUGUUUGGAUUCAGGGUUUGGUAAGUCGAAUCCAGGUUCGCUGUGUUUGGAUUCAGGGUUUGGUAAGUUGAAUCCAGGUUUGCUCUGUUUGGAUUCAGGAUUUGGUAAAUUGAAUCCAGGUAUGCUCUGUUUGGAUUCAGGGUUUGGUAAGUUGAAUCCAGGUUUGCUCUGUUUGGAUUCAGGGUUUGGUAAGUUGAAUCCAGGUUUGCUGUGUUUGGAUUCAGGGUUUGGUAAGUAGAAUCCAGGUAUGCUGUGUUUGGAUUCAGGGUUGGGUAAGUUGAAUCUUGACUGGCAGCGCUCCUCUCUUCACUGUUUCCUGGGUGGGUGUUUGAUCUGCUAGACGUCUUACAACUAGAUAAGAACGGCCCUGAAGAACAUGCAAGUUAUAUUAUAGGACAGCAUAGUGCAUCAUUCACUGUAGACAACAGUUGUGUGUGUGUUUGUCUACGCACUAGUAUGUCUGAACAUACCUUCCACCUUCCUCCUGUAGACAAUUACCAGAACGAUGGUGAUAAACCCCACAACCAGAAUCACAGACAGAAUGAUCACUACUAAGAUACCUGGAACACAGAGACACAAUGAUCACUACUAAGAUACCUGGAACACAGAGACACAAUGAUCACU
ensembl:lncRNA